ACGUGAUCUGAGUUCAGACCGGAGCAAUCCAGGUCGGUUUCUAUCUAUAAUAGAGCUUAUUCUAGUACGAAAGGACCGAAAAAGCAUGGCCUAUGUCUUAUGCACGCCAUCACUUGAAAUUUCUGCCUACAACUCAAAUAUUUACUAAUCUACCUCUAACCUCAAGAUCAGAGAA
rnacentral:rRNA from 1 species